AUCUAGCAGCCCCAGACCUGCUCUUGGGUGUUGCAGGCUGCCCUUUUCCUGCCAGACCGGAGGGGCUGGGGGGGUUCCAGCAGGGGGAGGGUUUUCCCUUCACCCCAGUUGCCAAACAUCCCUCCCACCCCCUGGACCGUCCUUUUCCCUCCAUCCCUGACGGUUCUGGCCUUCCCAAACUGCUUUUGAUCUUCUGAUUCCUCUUGGGUUGAAGCAGACCAAGUCCCGUCCUAGGCACCCAGUUUGGGGGGAGCCUGUAUUUUUUUUUUUAACGACACCCCUACUCCUCAUCUGUCCCAUCCCAUGCUGCCAACUUCUAACCACAAUAGUGACUCUGUGCUUGUCUGUUUAGUUCUGUGUGUAAAUGAACUGUGGAAAUGACCCUCCCUGCACCAGCUGGUUGCCCUCCCCUUUCCCUUGAUCUUGGCCACUCAUGGAAGCAGGACCAGUAAGGGACCUUCAAUUUAAAAAAAAAAAAACACAAUAAAAAGGCUAAUUAACAAUGUGGCUUUUGGGUUUGGGAUCUUGGAGACCCUGUGAUAAGAGAUGGAUCGGUUGUUUUCCGGUGCUUCACCCCCAGCUCGGCCCCUGGCAAAUGUACCUCCUUUUUGCGGUGGGGUGCUACGGUUAGCGCCAAGGUAGUUGAAUAGGGCAGUUGGGCCCACAGUGUAUCACACCUGAAACUGCUUGCUAAUGGGCCUUUAUAGUGGACAGUGAGGUGCCCUGAGCCCCUUUCUACCUGUGGGCUAAAUACAGUUCACUCCGGUGAUCUAUUGAGUUUUAAGGUUCCCUUAGAUCUCUCCCUCUGGUGUUGGCUUACCCUUCUGCCAGGUUCAGUGGUGCUACGAGCUGCUAAAUUGAGCCUUUGGCCUCCUGUACUUGGGGCUGGAGUCCAUUUAGGGUGGGUCAGCAGGUGGAGUCUGGGACUUCAGACCCAGGUGUCUUGCCCCACCUACUGUUUCCCCAGCUAGAGCCCUGACUGAGCCUUUAGCUUGGAUUCUGUGGAUUCUGGCCUAAGGGCUGGAAAAGCUGGUACUCUAGGGCAGGAGAGCCCAAUUCCUUACCUGGCCCCAAUUUUGGGAGGGUUGCAGGAAGGGACUGUUCUCUUUUGAUAGCAAGGGUGAAGGGAAUUCUUUUUUUGUUUUUUAAACAGGGUUUCUCUGUAGGUCAGGCUGGGCUUGAACUGGAUCAGCCUGUCUCUGCCUCCUGAGUGCCGGGAUUAAAGGUGUUCGUUAUCACUGC
rnacentral:lncRNA from 1 species